UACGUAGGUGGCAAGCGUUGUCCGGAAUUAUUGGGCGUAAAGCGCGCGCAGGCGGAUCAGCCAGUCUGUCUUAAAAGUUCGGGGCUUAACCCCGUGAGGGGAUGGUAUCUGCUUAUCUAGAGUAUAGGAGAGGAAAGUGGAAUUCCUAGUGUAGCGGUGAAAUGCGUAGAUAUUAGGAAGAACACCAGUGGCGAAGGCGACUUUCUGGACGAAAACUGACGCUGAGGCGCGAAAGCAAGGGGGGCGAACAGG
rnacentral:rRNA from 1 species